GACGAACGCUGGCGGCGUGCUUAACACAUGCAAGUCGAACGGAAAGGCCCUGCUUUUGUGGGGUGCUCGAGUGGCGAACGGGUGAGUAACACGUGAGUAACCUGCCCUUGACUUUGGGAUAACUUCAGGAAACUGGGGCUAAUACCGGAUAGGAGCUCCUGCUGCAUGGUGGGGGUUGGAAAGUUUCGGCGGUUGGGGAUGGACUCGCGGCUUAUCAGCUUGUUGGUGGGGUAGUGGCUUACCAAGGCUUUGACGGGUAGCCGGCCUGAGAGGGUGACCGGCCACAUUGGGACUGAGAUACGGCCCAGACUCCUACGGGAGGCAGCAGUGGGGAAUAUUGAACAAUGGGCGGAAGCCUGAUGCAGCAACGCCGAGUGCGGGAUGACGGCAUUCGGGUUGUAAACCGCUUUCGCCUGUGACGAAGCGUGAGUGACGGUAAUGGGUAAAGAAGCACCGGCUAACUACGUG
rnacentral:rRNA from 1 species